CACGUAGGCGGAUUGUUAAGUCAGGGGUGAAAUCCUGGAGCUCAACUCCAGAACUGCCUUUGAUACUGGCAAUCUAGAGUCCGGAAGAGGUGAGUGGAACUCCUAGUGUAGAGGUGGAAUUCGUAGAUAUUAGGAAGAACACCAGUGGCGAAGGCGGCUCACUGGUCCGGUACUGACGCUGAGGUGCGAAAGCGUGGGGAGCAAACA
rnacentral:rRNA from 1 species